UAACUGAAGAGUUUGAUCAUGGCUCAGAUUGAACGCUGGCGGCAGGCUUAACACAUGCAAGUCGAGCGGGGGAAGGUAGCUUGCUACUGGACCUAGCGGCGGACGGGUGAGUAAUGCUUAGGAAUCUGCCUAUUAGUGGGGGACAACAUCUCGAAAGGGAUGCUAAUACCGCAUACGUCCUACGGGAGAAAGCAGGGGAUCUUCGGACCUUGCGCUAAUAGAUGAGCCUAAGUCGGAUUAGCUAGUUGGUGGGGUAAAGGCCUACCAAGGCGACGAUCUGUAGCGGGUCUGAGAGGAUGAUCCGCCACACUGGGACUGAGACACGGCCCAGACUCCUACGGGAGGCAGCAGUGGGGAAUAUUGGACAAUGGGGGGAACCCUGAUCCAGCCAUGCCGCGUGUGUGAAGAAGGCCUUAUGGUUGUAAAGCACUUUAAGCGAGGAGGAGGCUACUUUAGUUAAUACCUAGAGAUAGUGGACGUUACUCGCAGAAUAAGCACCGGCUAACUCUGUGCCAGCAGCCGCGGUAAUACAGAGGGUGCGAGCGUUAAUCGGAUUUACUGGGCGUAAAGCGUGCGUAGGCGGCUUAUUAAGUCGGAUGUGAAAUCCCCGAGCUUAACUUGGGAAUUGCAUUCGAUACUGGUGAGCUAGAGUAUGGGAGAGGAUGGUAGAAUUCCAGGUGUAGCGGUGAAAUGCGUAGAGAUCUGGAGGAAUACCGAUGGCGAAGGCAGCCAUCUGGCCUAAUACUGACGCUGAGGUACGAAAGCAUGGGGAGCAAACAGGAUUAGAUACCCUGGUAGUCCAUGCCGUAAACGAUGUCUACUAGCCGUUGGGGCCUUUGAGGCUUUAGUGGCGCAGCUAACGCGAUAAGUAGACCGCCUGGGGAGUACGGUCGCAAGACUAAAACUCAAAUGAAUUGACGGGGGCCCGCACAAGCGGUGGAGCAUGUGGUUUAAUUCGAUGCAACGCGAAGAACCUUACCUGGCCUUGACAUACUAGAAACUUUCCAGAGAUGGAUUGGUGCCUUCGGGAAUCUAGAUACAGUGCUGCUGUCGUCAGCUCGUGUCGUGAGAUGUUGGGUUAAGUCCCGCAACGAGCGCAACCCUUUUCCUUACUUGCCAGCAUUUCGGAUGGGAACUUUAAGGAUACUGCCAGUGACAAACUGGAGGAAGCGGGGACGACGUCAAUCAUCAUGGCCCUUACGGCCAGGGCUACACACGUGCUAUAAUGGUCGGUACAAAGGGUUGCUACACAGCGAUGUGAUGCUAAUCUCAAAAAGCCGAUCGUAGUCCGGAUUGGAGUCUGCAACUCGACUCCAUGAAGUCGGAAUCGCUAGUAAUCGCGGAUCAGAAUGCCGCGGUGAAUACGUUCCCGGGCCUUGUACACACCGCCCGUCACACCAUGGGAGUUUGUUGCACCAGAAGUAGCUAGCCUAACUGCAAAGAGGGCGGUUACCACGGUGUGGCCGAUGACUGGGGUGAAGUCGUAACAAGGUAGCCGUAGGGGAACCUGCGGCUGGAUCACCUCCUUA
rnacentral:rRNA from 1 species